rnacentral:rRNA from 1 species
AUUGAACGCUGGCGGCAGGCCUAACACAUGCAAGUCGAACGGUAACAGGAAGCAGCUUGCUGCUUUGCUGACGAGUGGCGGACGGGUGAGUAAUGUCUGGGAAACUGCCUGAUGGAGGGGGAUAACUACUGGAAACGGUAGCUAAUACCGCAUAACGUCGCAAGACCAAAGAGGGGGACCUUAGGGCCUCUUGCCAUCGGAUGUGCCCAGAUGGGAUUAGCUAGUAGGUGGGGUAACGGCUCACCUAGGCGACGAUCCCUAGCUGGUCUGAGAGGAUGACCCGCCACCCUGGAACUGAGACACGGUCCAGACUCCUACGGGGGGCAGCAGUGGGGAAUAUUGCACAAUGGGCGAAAGCCUGAUGCAGCCAUGCCGCGUGUAUGCAGAAGGCCUUCGGGUUGUAAAGUACUUUCAGCGGGGAGGAAGGGAGUCAAGUUAAUACCUUUGCUCAUUGACGUUACCCGCAGAAGAAGCACCGGCUAACUCCGUG